AACGAACGCUGGCGGCAUGCCUAACACAUGCAAGUCGAACGAUACCUUGGGGUCUUGUGGCGUCCGGGUGCGUUACCCGUGGGAUGAUGCACUUAGGUUUGGACUAACUUCCCGCAAGGGGUGAUAAUACCGGACAAUGUCUUCGGACCAAAGAUAUAUGGCCUUUGGUGGGGCUUGUGUUGGAUUAGCUAGUUGGUAGGGUAAAAGCCUACCAAGGUGAUGAUCCAUAGCUGGUUAGGUAGGAUGAUCCGCCACACUGGGACUGGGACACGGCCCAGACUCCUACGAAAGGCAGCAGUGGGGAAUAUUGGACGACGGGCGAGAGACUGAUCCAGCAGUGCCGCGUAGGUGAUGAAGGCCUUAGGAUUGUAAGGCUCUUUUGACCGGGAUGAUAAUGACAGUACCGGGAGAAUAAGCGCCGGCUAACUCCGUG
rnacentral:rRNA from 1 species